ACCCUUCCUCGCUUAUCAGAUCUACGCACUGGUCUGAGUGGAGGAAAAGUACCAUUGAAACGGAUUUCAAUUCUUGUGUGACACAUGAGCCAGUUUCAAACAAAC
rnacentral:snoRNA from 1 species